rnacentral:rRNA from 1 species
GGAGACAGGUGCUGCAUGGCUGUCGUCAGCUCGCGUCGUGAGAUGUUGGGUUAAGUCCCGCAACGAGCGCAACCCUUGCCUUUAGUUGCCAGCAGUUCGGGCUGGGCACUCUAAAGGGACUGCCGGUGUUAAACCGGAGGAAGGUGGGGAUGACGUCAAGUCCUCAUGGCCUUUAUGACCAGGGCUACACACGUACUACAAUGGCCGAUACAAAGGGCAGCGACACUGCGAGGUGAAGCCAAUCCCGUAAAAUCGGUCUCAGUCCGGAUUGGAGUCUGCAACUCGACUCCAUGAAGUUGGAAUCGCUAGUAAUCGUGGAUCAGCAUGCCACGGUGAAUACGUUCUCGGGCCUU